rnacentral:sRNA from 1 species
AGCGGGUGGAGCCCGAAGCUCUUAGGG